AUAUUAUAAAGACAUUUCAGAUGGCUGUACCGCAUCAAUAUCAGGGUCUGCUAUAUAUUAUAAAGACAUUUCAGAUAUUAUAAAGACAUUUCAGAUAUUAUAAAGACAUUUCAGAUGGCUGUACCGCAUCAAUAUCAGGGUCUGCUAUAUAUUAUAAAGACAUUUCAGAUGGCUGUACCUCAUCAAUAUCAGGGUCUGCUAUAUAUUAUAAAGACAUUUCAGAUGGCUGUACCGCAUCAAUGUCAGGGUCUGCUAUAUAUUAUAAAGACAUUUCAGAUAUUAUAAAGACAUUUCAGAUGGCUGUACCACACCAAUGUCAGGGUCUGCUAUAUAUUAUAAAGACAUUUCAGAUAUUAUAAAGACAUUUCAGAUGGCUGUACCGCAUCAAUGUCAGGGUCUGCUAUAUAUUAUAAAGUGUAAAAAGUGAAGAUCUGGAAAUCAUUUCGUAGCAGCCUGCAAGUGACCAGGUCCCCAGAAGUGAAAUACUACAAUAAUGAAAACAGAUAAAAACAAAAGCAAAGAUAACAACCUUUUCCCCUGUAGCGGUGAUGAGAAGGUCACCUCUUUCUGCCUUUCUUUUUAACAGGAAAUCAAAGCUGAGCUGAAACAGAUGGAAUCAAUAAAACAGAAGUAUCGGAAAACAAAUUCUGAGCAGGGUCAGAUGAUCCAGCAGUUCACGAGGCCCAGCUGGAGAGCGAGAGGAGGCUGCGGCUGGACCUGCAGGACAGUCCCUGGAGGAGAAGGUGAGGCUGCUGAGGCAGGCUAAGGAGGCAGCGGAGCAGAGGCUGAGCGAGGCCAGUCUGGAGUCCCAGCAGAGAGAUGGGAUUGGUACAGCACUGACUGCAGCAUCUUCAAGUGACCAGGUUUCUGUUUGUGAGAGAGAUGGGAUUGGUACAGCACUGACUGCAGCAUCUUCCAGUGACCAGGUUUCUGUUCGUGAGAGAGAUGGGAUUGGUACAGCACUGACUGCAGCAUCUUCCAAUGACCAGGUUUCUGUUUGUGAGAGAGAUGGAAUUGUACAGCACUGACUGCAACUUCUUCCAGUGACCAGGUUUCUGUUUGUGAGAGAGAUGGGAUUGGUACAGCACUGACUGCAGUCUGAAUGUAAACUCGUCCGCUACCUAGUAGCUGAUUGAUCUGAGAACUUUGUCAAGUUGGGUCUUAAAGGAUCCCAGUGAUUGUGCCUCAACAGCAUUAUAUAUCUCAUUCCAUCCCCUCACCACUCUCUGUGUGAAGAAGUGUCUCCUUCCCUCUGUCCUGAGGCUCUCUCCACUUCAUUUCCACACUGUGUCCUCUGGUCCUGGUUUCUGUGCUGCACUUUAAGUAAUGGUUUGGAUUAAUAUGUCAACGCCUUUUAAAAUUUUAAAGACUUCAAUCAUGUCUUCUUUGUUUCAGACUAAAUAGAUUUAGUUCUUUCAUCCUUUCUUUGUAGCUCAGGCCUUUAAAUCCUGGGAUUACAACAAGUAAUGCUGCACUGCUUCAAUCAGUUAUACCAUUAGUAUGGAAGCAUGGAGGCUUUACUUUGGGCAGCAGAGGGAAGCAGAGGAUAGCCACAGAUAUGACUGGGGAGAGACUGCUAUAGAGAACAGAAUCUAAACGGUGAUAGAAGUUUGCUGUGUGUGUUUUCGUGUGUUUUCUCUACCCUGUGUUUGAACCCCAGGGGGAUCCAGGGGAGCCCCUGCUGCUGAGACACCCCAUCCAGCCCAGCCCAGCCAGCCUCCAGCUCUGGGAGACCAAGCAGGAGCUGAAACUGCUCUGCAGGAAGUACCAGACACAAUGGACAAGAAGCGAGGCCCAAACACAGGGAGGCAGGAUCUGUUAUCCGCACUGCUGUGUGUCCACGUUGAAACUCGGUGCUGUUUUUAACUUCAUGGUUCAUUACUGGCGGUGAAAAAGAAGACCUUUUUCACUUAUGAGCGAGGGUUAGGAUUACAAGCAUUGUUGAUCGUCUCAGCCAAUCAGAAAUUCCAAGCAGAGCUGUCAUGUGACGUUUAGAAUCCAGGAAAUUUAAUCUGCCGUAAUAACAGCUUGUUUUCAAACAGCACAUUGCCGUCCACUACUUGAAAAUGACUUCGUACACAAAAUAACCCAUUUGGUUUCAUAAUGGCCGUCGUGCACAUUUGAAGUAAUUGUGUCAUUUUAUGAGUGCAUCUUGUAAUUCAGCAUCAUGGAAGGGCAUUUGAUUUAUUGGUUAUCAAGAGUAUGGAGAUAUCACUCAGAGACAUCUUGAGUGAUCCCAGUGGCCACAGCAAAUAGAGCCACUGCUGUUCCAGUGACUGACUAGAAGAGUCUGCUGGAAGUACCUGUACUUAUUAUAUAAUGCAGUUAACUUAUUUCAUUUGUAUAUAAAGUAUUUACUGCAAGAUUGUUAAUGUCUUUAUAAAUACGUAACACUAGUACUUCUAUAUUUUUACUUGUGUAAAAUAAAAUGCAGUAUCUGAUCAAUAUAUAAAAUGCAGUAUCUGAUCAAUAUUUAAAAUGCAGUAUCUGAUCAAUAUUUAAAACGCAGUAUCUGAUCAAUAUAUAAAAUGCAGUAUCUGAUCAAUAUAUAAAAUGCAGUAUCUGAUCAAUAUAUAAAAUGCAGUAUCUGAUCAAUAUAUAAAAUGCAGUAUCUGAUCAAUACUUAAAACGCAGUAUCUGAUCAAUACUUAAAACGCAGUAUCUGAUCAAUACUUAAAACGCAGUAUCUGAUCAAUAUAUAAAAUGCAGUAUCUGAUCAAUAUAUAAAAUGCAGUAUCUGAUCAAUAU